rnacentral:rRNA from 1 species
GACAGAGGGUGCAAACGUUGUUCGGAAUUACUGGGCGUAAAGCGCGUGUAGGCGGCCAUCUAAGUCGGGCGUGAAAGCCCACGGCUCAACCGUGGAAGUGCAUCCGAAACUGCAUGGCUUGAGUCUCGGAGAGGAAGGUGGAAUGCUUGGUGUAGAGGUGAAAUUCGUAGAUAUCAAGCAGAACACCUGCGGCGAAGGCGGCCUUCUGGACGAUGACUGACGCUGAGACGCGAAAGCGUGGGGAGCAAAGG